rnacentral:rRNA from 1 species
CACGUAGGGGGCAAGCGUUGUCCGGAUUUAUUGGGCGUAAAGAGCUCGUAGGUGGUUCGGUAAGUCAGGUGUGAAACCUCCAGGCUCAACCUGGAGACGCCACUUGAUACUGCUGUGACUGGAGUCCGGUAGGGGAGCGUGGAAUUCCUGGUGUAGCGGUGAAAUGCGCAGAUAUCAGGAGGAACACCAGCGGCGAAGGCGGCGCUCGUGGGCCGGUACUGACACUGAGGAGCGAAAGCGUGGGUAGCAAACAGG